AGAGUUUGAUCCUGGCUCAGCCUGAACGCUGGCGGCGUGGCUAAGACAUGCAAGUCGAACGGGGUGGCCGCAAGGCCAUCCAGUGGCGAAAGGGUGAGUAAUGUAUCGCUAACGUACCCCGGACUCUGGGAUAGCCGGCCGAAAGGUCGGGUAAUACCGGAUGAGACCCCGAACAGGCAUCUGUUUGUGCUCAAAGGUCCGCCGGUCUGGGAGCGGGCGAUAUCGUAUCAGCUAGUUGGUGAGGUAACGGCUCACCAAGGCGAUGAUCCGUAGCUGGUCUGAGAGGAUGAUCAGCCACACUGGGACUGAGACACGGCCCAGACUCCUACGGGAGGCAGCAGUGGGGAAUAUUGGACAAUGGGGGCAACCCUGAUCCAGCAAUGCCGCGUGGGCGAUGAAGGCCUUCGGGUUGUAAAGCCCUUUUGCACGCGACGAUGAUGACGGUAGCGUGAGAAGAAGCCCCGGCUAACUUCGUGCCAGCAGCCGCGGUAAUA
rnacentral:rRNA from 1 species